GCGCGCUUAGCUCAGCGGUAGAGCAUCGCAUUCACAUUGCGAGGGCCGCAGGUUCAAAUCCUGCAGCGCGCA
rnacentral:tRNA from 1 species